AGAGUUUGAUCCUGGCUCAGGACGAACGCUGGCGGCGUGCUUAACACAUGCAAGUCUAGGAGAACGAUUCCUUCGGGAAUUUAUUAAACUGGCGAACGGGUGAGUAACGCGUAGGUAAUUUGCCUUGCAGAUAGGGACAACGUUUGGAAACGAACGCUAAUACCUAAUAAUGUUAAAAAUCUUAUGUUUUUUUAACCAAAGGGGGCUUCGGCUCUCACUGUAAGAUAAGCCUGCGUCUGAUUAGCUAGAUGGUAAGGUAACGGCUUACCAUGGCUACGAUCAGUAGCUGGUCUGAGAGGAUGAUCAGCCACACUGGGACUGAGAUACGGCCCAGACUCUUACGGGAGGCAGCAGUGGGGAAUUUUGCGCAAUGGGCGAAAGCUUGACGCAGCGACGCCGCGUGAUCGAAGAAGCUCUUAGGAGUGUAAAGAUCUGUCAUAAGGGAAGAAUAAUUAAUAUUCUAACACAAUAUUAGUCUGACGGUACCUUAUAAGAAAGCUCCGGCUAACUUCGUGCCAGCAGCCGCGGUAAUACGAGGGGAGCAAGCGUUGUUCGGAUUUAUUGGGCGUAAAGGGCUCGUAGGCGGAUUGAUAAGUCAAAAUUUAAAUCCAAUGGCUUAACCAUUGACCUGGUUUUGAUACUGUCAGUCUUGAGUUAUAUAGAGGUAAGCGGAAUUCCUGGUGUAGCGGUGAAAUGCGUAGAUAUCAGGAGGAACACCAACGGCGAAGGCAGCUUACUGGGUAUAUACUGACGCUGAGGAGCGAAAGCGUGGGGAGCAAACAGGAUUAGAGACCCUGGUAGUCCACGCCGUAAACGAUGAGCACUUGGUGGUGGAGGUUUCGACCCCUGCACUGCCGGAGUUAACGCGUUAAGUGCUCCGCCUGGGGACUACGACCGCAAGGUUGAAACUCAAAGAAAUUGACGGGGACCCGCACAAGCGGUGGAUUAUGUGGUUUAAUUCGAUGCAACGCGAAGAACCUUACCUGGAUUUGACAUAUUUUUGUAAGCUUUGUGAAAGCAAAGCCUUUUUUAAGCUUGCUUAAAAACAAUUAUACAGGUGAUGCAUGGCUGUCGUCAGCUCGUGUCGUGAGAUGUUCGGUUAAGUCCGAUAACGAGCGCAACCCCUAUCCUUAGUUGCCAGCACGUAAUGGUGGGGACUCUAGGGAAACUGCCCGGGAUAACCGGAAGGAAGGUGGGGUCGAUGUCAAGUCAGUAUGUCCCUUACAUUCAGGGCUACACACGUAAUACAAUGGGAGGUACAAAGAGUCGCAAAAUCGCAAGAUGAAGCUAAUCUCAAAAAACUUCCCCAAGUUCGAAUUGCAGUCUGCAACUCGACUGCAUGAAGUAGGAAUCGCUAGUAAUCGCGCAUCAGCAUGGCGCGGUGAAUACGUUCCCGGGUCUUGUACACACCGCCCGUCACGCCAUGGAAGCUGGUCGCGCCCAAAUACAGUGCCCUAACCUUCGGGAAGGAGCUGUUUGAGGUGAGAUUGGUAACUGGGGCGAAGUCGUAACAAGGUAACC
rnacentral:rRNA from 1 species